UAAGAGUAGCUGUCACCAUGCCAACAAAGGAAAAAUAAAAUAACAAAGGAGCCAUUGAAUAAAAGCCUUUAUACAUAGGCUGGUUGGGGAUUCAGAUUCACAAGAAGUUGGGUGUUAUAUUGCAAAGUUCAAGAAACAAUGCCAAUUGAACAAUCCCAAGAUCCUUGUUUGGAUAUAAUGUAAACAAAAUAACUCCUGCACCCAGUCUGAGUAACAUGCAAUAAGAAUUUCGGUACCAAGAUUUCAACAGUUUACCCUCAACAGGCAACCUAAAGUUGGUUAAUAAAUUAGUAUUGCUAUUUACGCAGACUGGGUGCCAGAGUCCUUUUGUUUACUUGAAUCGACCUUUGGUCCUUUCGGUCGAUCUACAUGUGUGCAAACGUUUGGUUUCUCAAUGGAUAUAAUCAUGUGAAAACCCAAUGCAGAGCUCGAUCCAUCUUCAUUUGACAUGACAAACAGUUUUUUUUACGGGGAAGGCAAAUCAUAUCAGAAGUAAUUGCAAAAGAAACACUGGUCAGUUGGUUAUUCUCACUCUUUUCAGUCUCUAUUGAUUUCCACUCUGCUUUUGUCUUAGCUUGUGUCCACACAUUUCUUUGCACUUGGUGCACACUGCUGCAUCGGACAGUUUUUCUGUUGGCGAUCAUCUGCCUUGUGAUUUGACAUUAUAGCUACUUUACUCAAGUCCGUCAUUUGACUGGACUCAAGUCCUUUGGAGCAAAUUACGUUUACAGUGUUAAAUCAAUCAAACAGCGGAGAUGACACCGUUUUCCUAUUAUGGCUCAAAACUGGAUGGUGACGGACUCUUCACAGACUAUAUGUUUUGAUGGCCAAUCAAAUAAAUGCAAGUAGGAGGGCGUAGUGGUGGAAACAAAAUAAUCCAAUCUGUCAAAGAAAACCAGGAGUAAGGGCAUGACGAUGUUCAAUGACCAGUGAAAUUAAGAGAUUUGGAGUUCACUACAACCCCGCUUCUUUUGGAAACUAACGGGAACGUUUUACUACGCACUUUUUGUAUACUGGCGGUUGUAAUCAAAGUCUAACAUUUCAGUAAAGCGUCGAGAAUAAAUUCCAGUUAUUUCUAUUCAACUCGCCAAGACAUGGAAAUGGCUACUGAAAACGCGACAACAGUUCAAGGCAGUCAAAGUAAUUUUGUAACUACAAAUCAAGCUUGCUCUACAGAACGCCCGGGGCCUGGUCUUCUCGAGCAAGACGAAAUAUUUGUAGAACAGUUGACACAACACUGGUGUGCUGGGAUUAGUGGUAAAUAAGAUUAGUCUAAAAUGUAUUGAUGAAGAAUGGAGCUGGGCUGACUUUGAUGAUGCAACUGCAAGCAGAUACUGGACACAAAGGGAGAAACAUUGUUGGACAACCUGGACAAAGCAGCAAAGAGGCUUUGGCUAGUUGGCUGAAGGAACUAUUGGCUGAAGAGAAGUUGCAGUUUUCCGGGACAACUGAGGACAUGAUGUCUGGUAUGGAGACUGACCCCGGUAGAUUGUUGGUUUCCUCUCCUUGCUGGUACUCUGCUGAGUUUGAGUACCUGAUCAAAUCAGCUGACAAAUGAAGGAGAGAAGAGGCUUUGCCAAAACAACCACCACAGCCCUACCCUGAACACCUGAUUGCAAAGAAAAAUUUAAAGAGAAGAGAAGCUGUGUUAUACAUGGCAACUGAGGACAUGAUGUCGGGUGUGGAUACUGGAUUUUGGCGUGUCAGUGGGUACUGGAUGUUUUUAAUAAUGUGUCUCAAUAUUUAUUUGAUUUGAAAUAAUAUACAGAACAUAUCUUGUAACCCUGUUACAUUUUUUGUAUACUUUGUAGAAUGUUCUGUUGCUGCGUCUCUCUGAGGGUACAUACAAGCAUUUUCUUGUCAAACUUGUUUACACUACUUUGACAAUUGUACAUCUGUUUAUUUGUACACAUUCAUUGUGAAAUACUGUAUUUUCUGCACUUAAAAUAAUAAAAGCAUUUUACUGGUAUAUGCUGUGGCUGAAUAAACAUGGGGGGGUAGGGGAAAAACGGGGGGUUUACAGGGUAAAAGUUGUGAAAUAUCCUAAUGUCUUUACUGGUGGACACUCGUUAAAUGUCAAGGUCUGGAAUCAUCGCCAGUCACAAUCUGUCCUCCAUUGAUAUGUUAAUACCUCACAGCAGGGGGUUGGGUGGUAACAAUGGUGAGGUUUGUGUUUCACGAUAUGUCCUAAUGCCCAGUGGUGGGGUUUCCUUUAAAGGGAAGAGUAGAAGAAUGUCCCAUGCUGGAGCUGUUGCCAGUCAGGAUUCAAACUUUUCUUGACUGUUGAUUGUUCCUUUUCGUGAAAAGUCACGACAUAAACCGGCUUUGGAGUGUUGAGUAGUUCAAGGCUGUAGUUCUCACGACUGGACUGGAAUUGGCAACAUUCGUAAGAGGUGUCAAGAUAACUAGGACUAUGAAAUGGGUAUUUGGCACAGUGAACAGGAGUGGAAGGCCCCGGUGCACAACUUAGCAAUAGAAUAAAUACAUUUGACUGUCUAGUUUGAGAAACAGACUCCUCACAGGUCCUCAACUGGCAGCUUCAUUAAACAGUACCCACAAAACGUGAACAGUGAAGAAGUGACUCCGGGAUGAUGGCCUUCUAGAUCAAAGAAGAUCCAUAUCUCAGGCAUAAUAACACAGACACUGGGGAGAGGAAGUUUGGAAAGAAAGUGUUAUGGACAGACUAAUCUAAGUUUGAGGUGUUCGAAUCACAAAGAAGAACAAUCGUAAGACACAGACCAAAUAAAACGGAGGAGUGCUUGAUGCCAUCUGUCAAGGAUGGUGAAGGCAAUGUACUUCGGUGGUACUUUGGUGGUGGUGAAGUGGGAGAUUUGUUCAGGGUCAAAGAGAUUAUGAAGAAGGAAUGCUAUCACUCCUUUUUGCAACUCCAUGCCAUACCCUGUGUGUCUGUGCUUGAUUGGAGCCAAUUUCCUCCUACAAUAGGACAGUGAC